CAGAGGGGGCAAGCGUUGUUCGGAAUUACUGGGCGUAAAGGGCGCGUAGGCGGCCCGCUUAGUCGAACGUGAAAUCCCCGGGCUCAACCCGGGAACUGCGUCCGAUACUGGCAGGCUUGAAUCCGGGAGAGGGAUGCGGAAUUCCAGGUGUAGCGGUGAAAUGCGUAGAUAUCUGGAGGAACACCGGUGGCGAAGGCGGCAUCCUGGACCGGCAUUGACGCUGAGGCGCGAAAGCCAGGGGAGCAAACGGGGAUUAGAUACCCCGGUAGUCCUGGCCCUAAACGAUGAAUGCUUGGUGUGGCGGGUAUCGAUCCCUGCCGUGCCGAAGCUAACGCAUUAAGCAUUCCGCCUGGGGAGUACGGUCGCAAGGCUG
rnacentral:rRNA from 1 species